rnacentral:rRNA from 1 species
UACUCCUACGGGAGGCAGCAGUGGGGAAUAUUGGACAAUGGGCGAAAGCCUGAUCCAGCAAUGCCGCGUGAGUGAUGAAGGCCUUAGGGUUGUAAAGCUCUUCUACCCGGGAUGAUAAUGACAGUACCGGGAGAAUAAGCCCCGGCUAACUCCGUGCCAGCAGCCGCGGUAAU